GUGAAUAUCGAAUUUAUUCCAUACAUUUGCAUCGUACUGUAUAUAUAUAUGAUAAAUUUCUGAAACGUAUUGAACAUUAUGUUCGGAAAAAAACCUUUAUAGAAGAACAUCUUUCCAUUAGAUGGACCUCGUGGAAAUUCAUCGAGUAAUCAACCUCAGACUGGUUUCAGAGUGUUACUUGUCACCAUUACAAAACAGAUCUAACGGAAACAGUACCAUUGUAUUAUAUUAUAGACUAAUUCCUUCAAUUUUCUUGAGAAACCUCCGUCUGACACUGGAGCCGUUGAACUACAAGGAAGUAGUGUCAGUCCCGUCUCGUUAACGAGGUUACAAACAGAGCAGCAUCAAAUUCCAUCUGGAUUUGAAGUGAUUGGAAAGCUGGAAACCAUAGAAUAUAUCCUUCUCUGGAAACUUGUUAUGAAACAGAUACGAAAUACAUUUGAGUGAAAUUUCUCAUUCAAACAACUUUUCACUCUUGUAGGUAUUCUAUUUUUUCUUUAGGCUCGUAAUUCAACCCACCAAUUCACCUGUUUUUGUGAUCAUUGAUAGGAAUCGUAUACUUUUUGAGGAUGAUUUGGAAUUUGAGUAUGGAAUAAAAAAAUCAGAUUUAGAAAUGACUGGUUUCUCUCCGAAAUAAAUAUUCAAAAAAGAGUUAGCUGCUCAUAAAGAAAGGUUCGACGUUCUGGAAACACUACGUGUGAACGAAUCAUUUAGACCAACACCUUUAGUCAAUGAUGAAAUUCUAGGAUACUACGGAAACUUCAAGAAACUCAACGUAGACUAGACUCAAACCAAAAAAUCUGAAUAUUCUCUUCAAAAUCAUUGAAGAAUUGUGGGACAAGUUCCAUGAUCAAAUGCUGCAUUUUUUCUUGGACAAUGGAAUUGUGUAUUUGUUGAAACUUUUUGGUAAUUAGAUGAAUAAAUAAAAUAGAAGUAUAUUUUUUCAAAAA